AAGAGACGUUGCCCUUCGGGGUAUACCUCCCACCCUUUGUUUAUUAUACCUUUGUUGCUUUGGCGGGCCCGUCCUCGGACCACCGGCUUCUGGCUGGUCAGUGCCCGCCAGAGGACCUAAAACUCUGUUUGUUAAUAUUGUCUGAGUACUAUAUAAUAGUUA
rnacentral:misc_RNA from 1 species